GUCAAGGUGGCAGAGCCCGGAAAAUGCAGAAGAUCUAAGCUCUUCCCACGAGGGUUCAACUCCCCCCCUCGACU
rnacentral:tRNA from 1 species